UUCUAGCUCUAGUAGUCCUUGUAACACUGGGCAGCAUAUAUGUUCCACUGGAUUCCCUAUCCCAAUAUGCACUAAUCCUCCAAGUACAUCAAGGCAAAGUCCAAGUUUCAAUGCAUCUAUAGGACACGUGGCAGGCGGAGGCGGAACAAUACCUGGAAUGCCUCCGCCUCCGCCGCCACCGGGAGGUGCGUAAGGAGGAUAUCCGCCACCACCAGACGGUGGUGGGAAUCCUCCUCCAGGAGGAUUUGUUAUUGGUGGAAAAAUUCCGGGAGGGUUUAUUAUUGGUGGAAGAAUGCCAGGUGGCCUUGUGAUUGGUGGUAGGAUGCCAGGUGGCCUAGUGAUUGGAGGGAUUACAACAGGAGGAUUAACUAUAGGUGGUAAAACUCCAGGUGGCGGUCUAGUCACUGGGGGUGAAAUGCCAGGUGGACGAGUGAUCGGAGGCGAAACGCCAGGUGGACGAGUGAUCGGAGGUGAUACGACAGGUGGAGGAAAGACGAUAGGUGGCAAAACCUUAGGAGGUGGCGGUUUGGUGGUUGGUGGAUGAGGACGGGGAGUCGAUGGUGGAGGGUGGGGUCUACCGGGAGCCUUAGGUGGAUGAGGGUGAUGAUGACCUGGAGAUUUUGGAGGAUGUGGAGGACGCGGA
rnacentral:lncRNA from 1 species